UACGUAGGGUGCGAGCGUUGUCCGGAAUUAUUGGGCGUAAAGAGCUUGUAGGCGGUUUGUCGCGUCUGCUGUGAAAAUCCGGGGCUCAACCUCGGACUUGCAGUGGGUACGGGCAGACUAGAGUGUGGUAGGGGAGACUGGAAUUCCUGGUGUAGCGGUGAAAUGCGCAGAUAUCAGGAGGAACACCGGUGGCGAAGGCAGGUCUCUGGGCAUUAACUGACGCUGAGGAGCGAAAGCAUGGGGAGCGAACAGG
rnacentral:rRNA from 1 species